rnacentral:rRNA from 1 species
UACGGGGGGGGCAAGCGUUGUUCGGAAUUAUUGGGCGUAAAGGGCGCGUAGGCGGCCAUUCAAGUGACGGGUGAAAGCCCUCGGCUUAACCGAGGAACUGCCUGUCAGACUGGAUGGCUUGAGACCGGGAGAGGUGAGUGGAAUUCCCAGUGUAGCGGUGAAAUGCGUAGAUAUUGGGAGGAACACCAGUGGCGAAGGCGGCUCACUGGACCGGAACUGACGCUGAGGCGCGAAAGCGUGGGGAGCAAACAGG